AACAAACUGAUUUCAGAACAAUUUUAACCCAUCAUCAUAUCAUGUACAUUUGCAUGAUAUCGCAGAUAUCUCUAAGAGUAUUAGAUAACUGCCUCAUUGCGUAUUUUAUUUUGUCAGAAUAUUAUUAAUAGUUCAAUUGUAAAUAAUUUUCAAUCUUUAACGUGCAUAUUCAUGCAGCACUUACUGCAUUGCAUGUAACUAGCAUGUAUGCAACUUUUUAGCGUUAUAACAGCACAUUCAGAAAAUUCCCAAUUCCCGACAACUUCAUCUGAGCCACGAAAUGCUAAGCCACGCUCACCCAGUAAGCUAAUUGUAAAAUUCAAUCUGGACGAAUUGAAUGUCAGAUUUGAAACCAACGACUUCGAUUUUUUGUAAACGGGGAUUAAGUAUAGAUGCUUGUAGUCUCCUUCGCAGACGUUCUUAUUGCUCCAAUCUUCGCUAUAACAAGAGUCCGCUGAACUGAGCUACUGUACACAUUCCAAUUCCCUCGCAUCCAUCAAUAACACAUACCUAAGUUUGAGGUUGUCUUCUUAUCGGCGAUGAUUUAUUCUAAGGCUGUCAUUAACUUUGGAAAGCCCAGUUCGAGGCACCACCUUACAAAGACAAUUCUGUUCCUCAACAGUAACUGGUUGUAUUAAAGAGAUUGAAGAGCCAAGAGAACUCAAGACAGUGAACCACUGCACAUUUUGAAUUUCGAUUUUGUACUGUGUAUUUAAUAUUGAACAAAUAUGUUAUUAAUAACUAUACGUUUAACGUUUUCAUUUCAAAAAGUCAUGGUAUUAAAGAGAAAGCAAG